GAACUGCUCUGACGUGAAGGAUCACUUGGUCAACAUGCUGCUGAAUAGUGGAAAGUGUGACGGUGGUGGCGGACAAGAUCGCUGGCCCUUUCCACCUUGGCCAUCCACCUCUACCACGAGUUGGCCCACCAAACACUCCACACCAAGGUUAACAAGGCCAUCAAUGUGCUCCAGGCAUACCUCAAGAGCCCGUCCAGCGCUGGGCCCGGCCACUGCAAGCCUUGUUGGGUCAAUGUGUGGGAAAUCAGCCAAGGUGGAGUUUGAGUCGGUCGGCCUCAACCAUGAGGGUGCGCAUGGAGUCAUUGUCAUGUUCCGUUGAUAACCUCCUAAUUGAUUCAUGUUGGUUGAUGUUUCACUCUGAUAUUGCAGUAAAUAUUUAGUUGUAUCAUUGUGCAUCAUCUGGAUAACCCCAAAGUGUUCCUAAGGUAUAAUGAUUGAAUGUUUUGACAAGAAUAUGAACAUUCACUCUUAGUUA